rnacentral:lncRNA from 1 species
CCUCUAUGCCAUAGAUUCCUUUCAUCGAUUGGAUUUUGAUCAAUUGCAAUUGCAUGUUGUUCUUGCCCUUAGGAAAGUGGUUUCUUUUAUGGUAUGUAGGGAUUGUGCUUAAGAAAGCAAGAGGAGGAGCACGAUCGAAGGAGAAAGACUGGAUGAUCAGAGAGUUUUGCUUCAAGGAGUUUCUAACUAUUUUCCAUUCUUGUUUUCUUAAUUCUGGUACACCGCUGUUGCUUGGUGCUACUUAGUCGUAAAGGAAGCAGUUACAAGUGUAGAGACUUACUUCUAUUAAUUUUUUUUUUCAGUAGCAACAAUACUACCCAGCAACGUGUCGUGGAUGAACACAAGACAAAUUGAAGAAAGUGCAUAGGG